UUUCCAAGGCCUCCAUUUACUGAGCAAGU
rnacentral:piRNA from 1 species